GACGAACGCUGGCGGCGUGCUUAACACAUGCAAGUCGAACGGAAAGGCCCUGCUUUUGUGGGGUGCUCGAGUGGCGAACGGGUGAGUAACACGUGAGUAACCUGCCCUUGACUUUGGGAUAACUUCAGGAAACUGGGGCUAAUACCGGAUAGGAGCUCCUGCUGAAUGGUGGGGGUUGGAAAGUUUCGGCGGUUGGGGAUGGACUCGCGGCUUAUCAGCUUGUUGGUGGGGUAGUGGCUUACCAAGGCUUUGACGGGUAGCCGGCCUGAGAGGGUGACCGGCCACAUUGGUACUGAGUUACGGCCCAGACUCCUACGGGAGGCAGCAGUGGGGACUAUUGCACAAUGGGCGGAGGCCUGAUGCAGCAACGCCGCGUGCGGGAUGACGGCCUUCGGGUUGUAACCCGCUUUCGCCUGUGACGAAGCGUGAGUGACGGUAAUGGGUAAAGAAGCACCGGCUAACUACGUG
rnacentral:rRNA from 1 species